rnacentral:rRNA from 1 species
CCUACGGGGUGCAGCAGUGGGGAAUAUUGCGCAAUGGGCGAAAGCCUGACGCAGCGACGCCGCGUGAGGGAUGAAGGUCUUCGGAUCGGAAACCUCUGUCAGCAGGGAAGAACGGUCACUGGGCUAAGCAGCAGUGAAUGGACGGUACCUGCAAAGGAAGCACCGGCGAACUCCGUGCCAGCAGCCGCGGUAAUACGGAGGGUGCGAGCGUUAAUCGGAAUUACUGGGCGGAAAGCGCUCGUAGGCGGUAUGUCAAGGCAAGGGUGAAAUCCCCGCGCUCAACGUGGGAACUGCCUUUGAAACUGGCAAACUGGAGUGUGUGAGAGGAUAGUCGAAUUCCAGGUGU